GACACAAAAGUGAAUCAAAGGCUCAGAAAACUCUGUUGUUGGUUUUUUCUGCAGAUUCUCCUCUUCAAAGUAAUUUCUGAAACCAUACCUUCUAUCUUCUGUAGCUUUCUUCACAAUCCCCAUAUCUCUUCUUUUCUCUCAUUCCCUUUUAAAACACACCCCUUUCCAAGUCCAAUAUUUUUCCUCUAACCAGUAACUGUCGACCCCAACAACCCCACUAUGGAUGAUUAUUGUAAGAGAAGUGGGCAGAUUCCAGCAUUUGGAGAGUGGGACUAUGCGAAUGAGUUGCCUAUUACUCAUACUUCGAAUGUGCUAGACAAGCUGGUUGAUUCGGUUCAGCUCUUCGUCUGGUGAAUCCAAUCCUUAUGUCCUCCCCACGACUUGUAUCAAGUUGAUUCAAGGAAACGUUCUUGUGAUCUUCCUCCUUCUACAAAGGCGACGGAAAAAGAGAAAAAGAAGGGAGGGAGAGUCUGUGACGUGACCGAACCGCCAAGGAAAUAUCACAGUACGACAAGAUAUUGUAAGCAGCUUAAAUACGACGACGUUGCUCCCAAUCCCAAGAGAGUGCCUGUUGAUGAAGAUCUCUACAAAAUCCCACCUGAGCUCCUUCGCUCUUCCAAGCUAGAGAAGAUGUGGGGAUUCUUUUCUUGCUUGGUGCCAGCUUGUGCAACAUGAAGCUCUCAGAA